AGUGAACGCUGGCGGUAUGCCUAACACAUGCAAGUCGAACGGCAGCACAGUAAUAGCUUGCUCUUACGGGUGGCACGUGGCGGACGGGGGCGGUGUACAUCGGACUCUACUUUUUCGUGGGGGAUAACGUCGGGAAACUUACGCUAAUACCGCAUACUACCUACGAGUUAAAGCAGCGGAUCUUCAGACCUUGCGCGAUUGAAUGAGCCGCUGUCGGAUUAGCUAGUUGGCGGGGUAAAGGCACACCAAGGCAGCGAUCCGUAGCUGGUCUGCGAGGAUGCUGAGCCACAUUGGAAAUGAGACACGGUCAAGACGCCUAUGGGAGGCAGCAGAGGGGAAUACUGGACAAUGGGCGGAAGCAUGAUCCAGCAAUACCGAGUGGGUGACGAAGGCCUUCGGGGUGUAAAGAGAUUUUGUUGGGAAAGAAAAGCAGCAGGCUAAGACCACGACGUUAUGACGGUACCCAAAGAAUAAGCACCGGCUAACUUCGUG
rnacentral:rRNA from 1 species